AGAGUUUGAUCCUGGCUCAGAUUGAACGCUGAUGCUUUACACUGCAAGUCGAACGGUAACAGGCCUUCGGGCGCUGACGAGUGGCGAACGGGUGAGUAAUGUAUCGGAACGUACCUUUCAGUGGGGGAUAACGUAGCGAAAGUUACGCUAAUACCGCAUAUUCUGUGAGCAGGAAAGCAGGGGAUCGCAAGACCUUGCGCUGAUUGAGCGGCCGAUAUCAGAUUAGCUAGUUGGUGAGGUAAAGGCUCACCAAGGCGACGAUCUGUAGCGGGUCUGAGAGGAUGAUCCGCCACACUGGAACUGACACGGUCCAGACUCCUACGGGAGGCAGCAGUGGGGAAUUUUGGACAAUGGGGGCAACCCUGAUCCAGCCAUGCCGCGUGAGUGAAGAAGGCCUUCGGGUUGUAAAGCUCUUUCGGCCGGGAAGAAAUCGUACGGGUUAAUACCCUGUGCGGAUGACGGUACCGGCAUAAGAAGCACCGGCUAACUACGUGCCAGCAGCCGCGGUAAUACGUAGGGUGCGAGCGUUAAUCGGAAUUACUGGGCGUAAAGCGUGCGCAGGCGGUUUUGUAAGACAGGCGUGAAAUCCCCGGGCUCAACCUGGGAACUGCGCUUGUGACUGCAAGGCUAGAGUAUGGCAGAGGGGGGUGGAAUUCCACGUGUAGCAGUGAAAUGCGUAGAGAUGUGGAGGAACACCAAUGGCGAAGGUAGCCCCCUGGGCCAAUACUGACGCUCAUGCACGAAAGCGUGGGUAGCAAACAGGAUUAGAUACCCUGUAGUCCACGCCCUAAACGAUGUCAACUAGGUGUUGGGUGGGUAAAACCAUUUAGUACCGUAGCUAACGCGUGAAGUUGACCGCCUGGGGAGUACGGCCGCAAGGUUAAAACUCAAGGAAUUGACGGGGACCCGCACAAGCGGUGGAUGAUGUGAUUAAUUCGAUGCAACGCGAAAA
rnacentral:rRNA from 1 species